rnacentral:rRNA from 1 species
GGGGAAUUUUCCGCAAUGGGCGAAAGCCUGACGGAGCAAUACCGCGUGAGGGAGGAAGGCUUUUGGGUUGUAAACCUCUUUUCUCAAGGAAGAAGAACUGACGGUACUUGAGGAAUCAGCAUCGGCUAACUCCGUGCCAGCAGCCGCGGUAAUACGGAGGAUGCAAGCGUUAUCCGGAAUUAUUGGGCGUAAAGCGUCCGCAGGUGGUGCAUCAAGUCUGCUGUCAAAGACCAGGGCUUAACUCUGGGUCGGCGGUGGAAACUGGUGGACUAGAGUACGGUAGGGGUAGAGGGAAUUCCCAGUGUAGCAGUGAAAUGCGUAGAGAUUGGGAAGAACACCAGUGGCGAAGGCGCUCUACUGGACCUGUACUGACACUCAGGGACGAAAGCUAGGGGAGCGAAAGGGAUUAGAUACCCCUGU